rnacentral:tRNA from 1 species
GCCUUCGUGGUGUAGUGGUCAGCAAGAUCGACUUGUAUUCGAGAGGUCCAUGGUUCGAGUCCUGGCGAGGGCA